rnacentral:rRNA from 1 species
AGUGAACGCUGGCGGUAGGCUUAACACAUGCAAGUCGAACGGCAGCACAGUAAGAGCUUGCUCUUACGGGUGGCGAGUGGCGGACGGGUGAGGAAUACAUCGGAAUCUACUUUUUCGUGGGGGAUAACGUAGGGAAACUUACGCUAAUACCGCAUACGCCCUACGGGUGAAAGCAGGGGAUCUUCGGACCUUGCGCGAUUGAAUGAGCCGAUGUCGGAUUAGCUGGUUGGCGGGGUAAAUGCCAACCAAGGCGGGGAUCCGUAGCUGGUCUGUGAGGAUGGUCGGCCGCCCUGGAACUUGAACACGGUCCAGACUCCUACGAGACGGAGCAGUGGGGUAUAUUGGACAAUAGGGGCAAGCCUUAUCCAAUCAGACCGAGUCGGUGGAAGCAGCCUUCCGGUUGUAAAGCCCUUUUGUUGGGAGAGAAAAGCAGCAGGUUAAUACCCCGCUGUUCUGACGGUACCCAGAGAAUAAGCACCGGCUAACUACGUG